rnacentral:rRNA from 1 species
AGUGAACGCUGGCGGUAGGCCUAACACAUGCAAGUCGAACGGCAGCACAGUAAGAGCUUGCUCUUACGGGUGGCGAGUGGCGGACGGGUGAGGAAUACAUCGGAAUCUACUUUUUCGUGGGGGAUAACGUAGGGAAACUUAUGCUAACACCGCAUAUGUCCUACGGGUGAGAGCAGGGGAUCUUCGGACCUUGCGCGAUUGAAAGAGCCGAUGUCGGAUUAGCUAGUUGGCGGGGUAAAGGCCCACCAAGGCGACGAUCCGUAGCUGGUCUGAGAGGAUGAUCAGCCACACUGGAACUGAGACACGGUCCAGACUCCUACGGGAGGCAGCAGUGGGGAAUAUUGGGCAAUGGGCGAAAGCCUGAUCCAGCAAUACCGCGUGAGUGAUGAAGGCCUUCGGAUUGUAAAGCCCUGUUGUUGGGAAAGAAAAACAGCGGGUUUAUCCCCGGCUGUUCUGACGGUACCCAAAGAAUAAGCACCGGCUAACUUCGUG